rnacentral:rRNA from 1 species
AGUGAACGCUGGCGGUAGGCCUAACACAUGCAAGUCGAACGGCAGCACAGAGGAGCUUGCUCCUUGGGUGGCGAGUGGCGGACGGGUGAGGAAUACAUCGGAAUCUACUCUGUCGUGGGGGAUAACGUAGGGAAACUUACGCUAAUACCGCAUACGACCUACGGGUGAAAGCAGGGGACCUUCGGGCCUUGCGCGAUUGAAUGAGCCGAUGUCGGAUUAGCUAGUUGGCGGGGUAAAGGCCCACCAAGGCGACGAUCCGUAGCUGGUCGGAGAGAGUUAUCAGCCAAACUGGAGUUGAGACACAGUCCAGACUCCUACGGGAGGCAGCAGUGGGGAAUAUUGGACAAUGGGCGCAAGCCUGAGCCAGCCAUACCGCGUGGGUGAAGAAGGCCUUCGGGUUGUAAAGCCCUUUUGUUGGGAAAGAAAUCCAGCUGGCUAAUACCCGGUUGGGAUGACGGUACCCAAAGAAUAAGCACCGGCUAACUUCGUGCCAGCCGCCGCAGUAA